rnacentral:lncRNA from 1 species
AUGAACCCUGCACAGAAGAAGAAAAGAAAACACAGGUUGUGGGCCGCACACUGCAGGAAAAUUCAGCUGAAGAAAGAUAACAAUUCUACACAAGUGUAUAACUACCAACCCUGUGACCACCCAGACCGUCCGUGUGACAGCACAUGCCCCUGCAUCAUGACCCAGAACUUUUGUGAAAAGUUCUGCCAGUGCAGCCCAGACUGUAAGAGCACCCUGCUUUCACCAUCGUCUACCCAAGUGGUUGGCCUUGGAGUGCCCAGACUCUUUUCUCCUGCCCCUUAGCUGCCUGGAGACUUUUAAUAUCCCUUUGCUGUGCUGCAGGCAUCCUACAGGGAGGAAAGGUGUGAUCUCCCAUGUUGUGGGGGUUGCUCUGUUCUAUUUUCUGAUUUUUAAUUUUAAAACUUCAUUAUUUUAUGUAUAUGAGUGUUUUCCCUGCAUGUAUGUCUGUAUUGUGGGGCAUGCCUGUUGUCCAAGAAGGUCAGAAGAGGGAAUAAGAUCCCCUGGUACUGGAGUUAGACAGUUGUGAGCCACCAUGUGGGUGCUGGGAGUCAAUCUCAGGUCCUCUGGAAGAGCAGCCAUUGCUCCUAGCUGCUGAGCCGUCUCUCCAACCCCUGUUCUACCCCCAACUCCUGAGGUCACAAAGUCUCAAAAAAAACCUAAACACUGGGUGGUGGUGGUGGCCAUCUUUACCUCUAGCACUCCAGAGGCAGAGGUAGGUGACCCUCCCAAGUUUGAGGUCAGCCUGGUCUACAGAGUGAUUUUGAGUUCCAGGACAACCAGGGCUGCAUAGAAAAGCCCUGUCUCAAAAACACGUUCCCCCACCACCAAAAAACGUCUUUUCUCUCCCUCCCAUCUCCUGCCUUCUUCUUUCUCCCCACCCACUCUGUAUUUUCAAGCAAAUUUCCUUUUUUCCACCUCAUAGGUAGCUGAGAUUACAGAUGUGUGCCAUCUUUCCUAGCUGUGAAAGUAAUGUAAGCCUUCAGGGUGGGGUUCAGGAAGCAGGAACUAGACAUGAGGCUUCUCCAUCUUGUUCACAGGAGAGCUGAGAAGUGGGAGCUUCUGCACUCAGGGUGCACCAUCCUCAUCAGGAUGGUGGGUUUUGCAAGUGUAGAGCCAGAGAGAUGGCUCAGUGGUUAACAACACUUCCUGCUCUUCUGGAAGACCUGAGUUUGGUUCCCAGCCCCCAUAUCAGGCAGUUUACAACCACCUGUGAUUCCGGCUCCAGGAGAUCUGACACCUUCUGUCCUUGGACAUCCACGCACACUUAACAUACACAUACACAUAAAUAAAAAUAAAAGUGAACAAAAAAGAUACAUGGGUUGAGUGUGGUAGUGUGUAACUGUAAUUAGGUCUGGACCUCCACUGUGGGAGUCUGAGGCAGGAGGAUCAGUGUUCAAGGCCAACCUGUGCUACUAAGGAAACUAUGUCUUAACAACACCUACCACCUCUAGGUUUGUUUAGGUAGAUACAGGAGCACUUAUAGAGCUGGUUAUAGAACCAGCUCUAGCAUUGGGAGAAUGAUGCAGGCCUUGUACCCAGGUUAAACCCCGCCCCAAAAGAGAGAACAGGAGAGGGAGGGAGAUAGGAAAGAGGAGAAGAAAAAGGAGAACAGCCGAGGCCGUUCUUCAGGAAAAGGCAAUACAAUGAAUUUGCCAGGAAGCCUUGGUUAGAUCUGGAAGCACGUGAGGAAAGGAAAGAACAGAUUCUUGGACUGUCCUCUUAGCUCCACCCACAUGCACACACCUACUGAGUAUGUAAUUAAAGGGAAACGUUUGGGGGAAAGAAAAAGAAUACAUGCACAGACCUCGGGGAUGACCUUGACCUCCCGCUCCUCUUACCCCCACCUCCUGGAUGCUGGGAUUACAGGUGUGCGCCAUCACACUGGACCCAUACAGGUUCUUUAUGUCCACAGUAACUGCAGAGUGACUAUUAGACUAGCUGUUGAAUCUAUGACCUGUCCUUGCUAUGCUUUGUCUGUAUACUCCACCCUGGCUGAAGUUCUUUUAGAACUCUUUCUUUUCCCCCAGCAUAUAUUAAGUAAGCUGGAUAAAGAACAUUGAUUUCAAUAUUUUC